GGGCAGAGCUGAAGGGGACAGGGAGUUUUUAAGAGACAGAGAUGUGUGUCUGGCUGGUAAGAAAGGAGACCAGAGGAAGAGGGUUUCAAGGGGAACUGGUAGUAUUGACAUCAGCUCUGUAUCCCUUCUGCCGCACAAAGUGAGUGAAACAGCUCAAGAACUGCAGAAGAACAGCUCAACAUGUCCAUGACCUUGGAAGCAAACACUUCAUCCAAUAAAUAUGUGGAUAUUUAA